AUACUUACCUGGCAGAGGUAUCACCAUGAUCAAGAAGAUGGUUCGCCCAAGGCGAGGCUUAGCUAUUGCACUCGGGCUGUGCUGACCUGCGGGAAUCUCGACUGCAUAUUUUUAACAGUGGGGGGAUUGUGUGGGGAUUGGGGGAUACGCUUUCCCCUG